GCCAGAUACAGAAAGACAAAUAUCACAUAUUCUCACCCAUAUGUGGGAGAUUACAAAAAGAAGUUGAUCUCCUAGAGUGAUUCUGAUAAAUGCCCCAUACAAAUGUCCUUCUAUUCCUCAGUAAAAUUUAAGUGAUUUCUGCAAGAAAAAAUAUUCAGCAACAGCAAAUCAACUAAAGCCAUCGCUCUAAGAACUAGAGAAACAGCAUAAAGGAAACAAACAAAAGGGAAAACAACAUCAUCAAAAAACAAACUUUCUGCCAUUGAGAAGUUCCGGAGGGAAAUUCACACAUUUAGUAAGUAAAUAAAUCCAUAACAAAAAGCCCAGGA